rnacentral:rRNA from 1 species
GACGAACGCUGGCGGCGUGCCUAAUACAUGCAAGUCGAGCGGACUUUCAAGAAGCUUGCUUUUUGAAAGUUAGCGGCGGACGGGUGAGUAACACGUGGGCAACCUGCCUGUAAGACGGGGAUAACUCCGGGAAACCGGGGCUAAUACCGGAUAAUAUCUUUCUUCGCAUGAAGGAAGGUUGAAAGGCGGCGCAAGCUGCCGCUUGCAGAUGGGCCCGCGGCGCAUUAGCUGGUUGGGGAGGUAACGGCUCACCAAAGCGACGAUGCGUAGCCGACCUGAGAGGGUGAUCGGCCACACUGGGACUGAGACACGGCCCAGACUCCUACGGGAGGCAGCAGUAGGGAAUCUUCCGCAAUGGACGAAAGUCUGACGGAGCAACGCCGCGUGAGCGAAGAAGGUCUUCGGGUCGUAAAGCUCUGUUGUCAGGGAAGAACAAGUACCGUUCGAAUAGGGCGGUACCUUGACGGUACCUGACCAGAAAGCCACGACUAACUACGUGCCAGCCGCCGCAGUAA